rfam:Halocynthiibacter arcticus strain PAMC 20958, complete genome.
GGAUCGGGCGGAGCCGGUGGGCCGGUUUCGAGAAUAGAUCCGAAUUGUUUUGUUUUGCGAUACGUCCUUGUUGCCCAGCUUGGAUGUC